CCUACGGGAGGCAGCAGUGAGGAAUAUUGGUCAAUGGACGAGAGUCUGAACCAGCCAAGUAGCGUGAAGGAUGACUGCCCUAUGGGUUGUAAACUUCUUUUAUAUGGGAAUAAAACGUUCCACGUGUGGGAUUUUGUAUGUACCAUAUGAAUAAGGAUCGGCUAACUCCGUGCCAGCAGCCGCGGUAAUACGGAGGAUCCGAGCGUUAGCCGGAUUUAUUGGGUUUAAGGGGGGCGUAGGUGGAUUGUUAAGUCAGUUGUGAAAGUUUGCGGCUCAACCGUAAAAUUGCAGUUGAAACUGGCAGUCUUGAGUACAGUAGAGGUGGGCGGAAUGCGUGGUGUAGCGGUGAAAUGCUUAGAUAUCACGAAGAACUCCGAUUGCGAAGGCAGUUCACUGGACUGCAACUGACACUGAGGCUCGAAAGUGUGGGUAUCAAACAGGAUUAGAUACCCCAGUAGUC
rnacentral:rRNA from 1 species